ACUCCUACGGGAGGCAGCAGUGAGGAAUAUUGGUCAAUGGAGGGAACUCUGAACCAGCCAUCCCGCGUGUAGGAAGACGGCCUUAUGGGUUGUAAACUACUUUUUAUACAGGAAGAAACGUACCCUCAGNGGGUGCCUUGACUGUGCAUCUGUAGGAAUAAGCACCGGCUAACUCCGUGCCAGCAGCCGCGGUAAUACGGAGGGUGCGAGCGUUAAUCGGAAUUACUGGGCGUAAAGCGCAUGCAGGUGGUUUGUUAAGUCAGAUGUGAAAGCCCGGGGCUCAACCUCGGAAUUGCAUUUGAAACUGGCAGACUAGAGUACUGUAGAGGGGGUAGAAUUUCAGGUGUAGCGGUGAAAAUGCGUAGGAGAUCUGAAGGAAUACCGGUGGCGAAGGCGGCCCCCUGGACAGAUACUGACACUCAGAUGCGAAAGCGUGGGGAGCAAACAGGAUUAGAUACCCUGGUAGACAUCAC
rnacentral:rRNA from 1 species